rnacentral:lncRNA from 1 species
GGUAUGUAUGUGUUAACCUUUAUGAACCCGUGUAACCUGCUUCUUCUCUUCGUUUCAGGGUAUGUAUGUGUUAACCUUUAUGAACCCGUGUAACCUGCUUCUUCUCUUCGUUUCAGGGGUAUGUAUGUGUUCUGUUGAAUUGCUGGGAUCCACAUAAGCAACCUGAUCAGCCAAAGUACAGUCAGGGAGGAACCAUAAAGAGAUACUAGCAAUGGGGGACAGGUCAACUCUUUGUUUUUCCAUGGAGAUGAGGAAGGGAAGAUUCUGUCAUCGUUUACGCCUGGAAAUGUACAACAUACCCCUUCCUGGACCUACUACCUACUACCAUACACCACAGCCAGAAAACCUUGCACCUCUUGUCUCC